AGCUUUGCGCAGUGGCAGUAUCGUAGCCAAUGAGGUUUAUCCGAGGCGCGAUUAUUGCUAAUUGGAACUUGGGAACAUCUGCAGACAAAAGUGUGCCCCAAACAGCAGCCUGUGUCAGUCUCAAUCACUAUGGGAAUGAUACUAUU
rnacentral:snRNA from 1 species